AGAUAGAGCUCAGGCCGGAGCUAUAUAAACUCUGGGCUAAGCUAGCCACAGGGCCCAGCCCAGGCUGUGGCAGCGAGUGGAUUCCUGAAUGCUCUAGGAAGCUGUGAAGCAGCUCUGCAAGCGAAAGCACCAACAGAGUGACCCAGAGACGUGGAGCCAUGGUGCUGGUGAUGAUUCUGUGAUGAUGUCUGUUGGGUGACAUUUAUAAACACGUCAUCUGCUUUGACAGGAACAAUGAGCUACAAGGAUUUUCCAAGGAGACACUUCUAGGCAGUGUAAAAGCCCUCACAUAGGUAACACAGCCCUGCUGAAUGACAACAGAAAAUGAAAGGGAAAGAGGAACUAUGUAGAUCCAGAACUGAUAUGAUCCCAGCAUACCCUGCUUCCUUGACAAAACAGCAUGAGAAUCCAUGCAACCAGAGGUUCUUCAAUAUUUCCUCCCUCGGAACCCCAUCAUGGGUCCUAGUAAUUAAGAGAAUAAUCCUUGGAGCUGACUAAAGAAGCAAACCUGACGGACGAGGGAGCCAACAGGCAGCUGAUAGCACAGCAUUAAGCAAACUAUCAAGAAAACAAAAGCCUCUCAUCAGUUCAAGCUCUUCUUAACCAGCUUUUUUGGGACAUUACCAGAUGAGCUGUUGAUUAGCUCCAAAAAGCCCUAAAUGGACACUGCCCUGUCUGCCUUUGUCCUGUCCCAGUGAAAUUGAAGACACACACAGACACCUCUCAGCAUUAGCUAGCAUACCACAUGCUGGUACAGGUAAGGUGGAGGGAUGGAGGCCCCACUUGGAGGGGUGAGGCCACCUUAGAUGAUCCCACAUCACAACUGUGGCUCUGCUACACUUCACAAAUGAAUCCUUUCUCUUCCUUACAACUAUAAAUACCCCAACAUAUUCAUUCCCAGUAGCUUUUGACAAUUCUGGGGGCAGGGUGCAGAGCUAAGGUUGUUGUGGCAUGUACCUUUACUCUGGUGUUCAGAUGUAUGACUUUUGCUCAAACUUGGUCUUUUGGAAGGACAUGAGAUACCAAUGGACAACCUCAACUCUGCAUUAAAGCUUUUUUUUUUCUCAAUGAUUUUUUUACUUGGGGUGAUAUAUUCUGGAUAAGCUUAAUUCCCAAGGUCAAAACCUUUUGUACCAUAGUUAUGACAUUUUGAUUUGCAUAAGCACCUUGUCUGCACAGUACUUUCUCUGCAAGUUUUGAAACAGUAUUGUAUAAGGGGUAAUUAAACCAGUCUGUUUCUACAGCA